rnacentral:lncRNA from 1 species
UGUCUACUUCUGGCUCUGCCAUCCUGCUGCUGGUGCUCUGUGGCAGCAUGAGCUCCCAGGACAUCUGCAGCUCUCCAGGGGAUCUCCCAGCUCCUGCUCUCCAAAUGAACUCAACUUCUGCUCAGCCAGGUACCACAGUUGUGCUCCAGUGUAUUCUCCCUGUGGUGUCACAUACAAGACGAAUCAUCUUCUGCAAGGAUGGGAAGGAGGUGUACAGCCAGGAAGCCCAGCAAGGGCAGCUGAGCUACUUGACAGUCCUGAACAUCACGUCAAGAAGCGCAGGAAGAUAUACAUGUGGGUACCAGCAGAGGAAUGAGAUGAAACAGAGGAGGAGCUCUGCCCUCAGUGCUGGCCGCAUCCUGGAUGUCCCUGGUGAGUCAUGGCCCCGGGCUGGAGGGGUGAGAAGGGACGGAGGCACUUGAUACCACAUGGCUGUGCUGAGGCUGGAGCUGUGUGCUGCAGCAGGCUCUGGGGUGGUUCCCUCACGAGAGUGUUCCCUCUCCUCCAAGGCAGCCCCUACAGAGAGAGAGUUGUUC